rnacentral:rRNA from 1 species
AGAGUUUGAUCUUGGCUCAGAAUCAACGCUGGCGGCGUGCCUCAGACAUGCAAGUCGAACGAUUAAGACUCCCUUCGGGGAGUGUAUAAAGUGGCGCACGGGUGAGUAACACGUAAGUAAUCUACCUUCGAGUGGGGAAUAACGUCCGGAAACGGACGCUAAUACCGCAUAAUGCAGCGGCACCUAAUGGUGACAGUUGUUAAAGAUUUAUCGCUUGAAGAGGAGCUUGCGGCAGAUUAGCUAGUUGGUAAGGUAAUGGCUUACCAAGGCUACGAUCUGUAACCGGUCUAAGAGGACGGUCGGUCACACUGACACUGAAUAACGGGUCAGACUCCUACGGGAGGCAGCAGUCGGGAAUUUUGGGCAAUGGGCGAAAGCCUGACCCAGCAACGCCGCGUGAAGGAUGAAGUAUUUCGGUAUGUAAACUUCGAAAGAAUGGGAAGAAUCAAAUGACGGUACCAUUUAUAAGCUCCGGCUAACUACGUGCC